UCAACCUCAGAUCAGGUAGGA
rnacentral:rRNA from 1 species